CCUACGGGAGGCAGCAGGAGGGAAUCUUCCACAAUGGGCGAAAGCCUGAUGGAGCAACGCCGCGUGGGUGAAGAAGGUCUUCGGAUCGUAAAACCCUGUUGUUAGAGAAGAAAGUGCGUGAGAGUAACUGUUCACGUUUCGACGGUAUCUAACCAGAAAGCCACGGCUAACUACGUGCCAGCAGCCGCGGUAAUACGUAGGUGGCAAGCGUUAUCCGGAUUGAUUGGGCGGAAAGGGAACACAGGCGGUCUUUUAAGUCUGAUGUGAAAGCCUUCGGCUUAACCGGAGUAGUGCAUGGGAAACUGGGAGACUUGAGUGCAGAAGAGGAGAGUGGAACUCCAUGUGUAGCGGUGAAAUGCGGAGAUAUAUGGAAGAACACCAGUGGCGAAAGCGGCUCUCUGGUCUGUAACUGACGCUGAGGUUCGAAAGCGUGGGUAGCAAACAGGAUUAGAUACCCUUGUAGUC
rnacentral:rRNA from 1 species